rnacentral:rRNA from 1 species
GAUGAACGCUGGCGGCGUGCCUAAUACAUGCAAGUCGAGCGAACAGACGAGGAGCUUGCUCCUCUGACGUUAGUGGCGGACGGGUGAGUAACACGUGGAUAACCUACCUAUAAGACUGGGAUAACUUCGGGAAACCGGAGCUAAUACCGGAUAAUAUAUUGAACCGCAUGGUUCAAUAGUGAAAGACGGUUUUGCUGUCACUUAUAGAUGGAUCCGCGCCGCAUUAGCUAGUUGGUAAGGUAACGGCUUACCAAGGCAACGAUGCGUAGCCGACCUGAGAGGGUGAUCGGCCACACUGGAACUGAGACACGGACCAGACUCCUACGGGAGGCAGCAGUAGGGAAUCUUCCGCAAUGGGCGAAAGCCUGACGGAGCAACGCCGCGUGAGUGAUGAAGGUCUUCGGAUCGUAAAACUCUGUUAUUAGGGAAGAACAAAUGUGUAAGUAACUAUGCACGUCUUGACGGUACCUAAUCAGAAAGCCACGGCUAACUACGUG